UGGUUUUCCAGGCAAAUCCGGAAAAUCAAGGCUGAGGCGUGAUGACGAGGCACUACGGUGCUGAAGCAACAAAUGCCCUGCUUCCAGGAAAAGCCUCUAAGCAUCAGGUAACAUCAAAUCGUACCCCAAACCGACACAGGUGGUCAGGUAGAGAAUACCAAGGCGCUUGAGAGAACUCGGGUGAAGUAACUAGGCAAAAUGGUGCCGUAACUUCGGGAGAAGGCACGCUGAUAUGUAGGUGAAGCGACUUGCUCGUGGAGCUGAAAUCAGUCGAAGAUACCAGCUGGCUGCAACUGUUUAUUAAAAACACAGCACUGUGCAAACACGAAAGUGGACGUAUACGGUGUGACGCCUGCCCGGUGCCGGAAGGUUAAUCGAUGGGGUUAGCCGCAAGGCGAAGCUCUUGAUCGAAGCCCCGGUAAACGGCGGCCGUAACAAUAACGGUCCUAAGGUAGCGAAAUUCCCUGUCGGGUAAGUUCCGACCUGCACGAAUGGCGUAAUGAUGGCCAGGCUGUCUCCACCCGAGACUCAGUGAAAUUGAACUCGCUGUGAAGAUGCAGUGUACCCGCGGCAAGACGGAAAGACCCCGUGAACCUUUACUAUAGCUUGACACUGAACAUUGAGCCUUGAUGUGUAGGAUAGGUGGGAGGCUUUGAAGUGUGGACGCCAGUCUGCAUGGAGCCGACCUUGAAAUACCACCCUUUAAUGUUUGAUGUUCUAACGUUGACCCGUAAUCCGGGUUGCGGACAGUGUCUGGUGGGUAGUUUGACUGGGGCGGUCUCCUCCUAAAGAGUAACGGAGGAGCACGAAGGUUGGCUAAUCCUGGUCGGACAUCAGGAGGUUAGUGCAAUGGCAUAAGCCAGCUUGACUGCGAGCGUGACGGCGCGAGCAGGUGCGAAAGCAGGUCAUAGCGAUCCGGUGGUUCUGAAUGGAAGGGCCAUCGCUCAACGGAUAAGAGGUACUCCGGGGAUAACAGGCUGAUACCGCCCAAGAGUUCAUAUCGACGGCGGUGUUUGGCACCUCGAUGUCGGCUCAUCACAUCCUGGGGCUGAAGUAGGUCCCAAGGGUAUGGCUGUUCGCCAUUUAAAGUGGUACGCGAGCUGGGUUUAGAACGUCGUGAGACAGUUCGGUCCCUAUCUGCCGUGGGCGCUGGAGAACUGAGGGGGGCUGCUCCUAGUACGAGAGGACCGGAGUGGACGCAUCACUGGUGUUCGGGUUGUCAUGCCAAUGGCACUGCCCGGUAGCUAAAUGCGGAAGAGAUAAGUGCUGAAAGCAUCUAAGCACGAAACUUGCCCCGAGAUGAGUUCUCCCUGACUCCUUGAGAGUCCUGAAGGAACGUUGAAGACGACGACGUUGAUAGGCCGGGUGUGUAAGCGCAGCGAUGCGUUGAGCUAACCGGUACUAAUGAA
rnacentral:rRNA from 1 species